rnacentral:misc_RNA from 1 species
GAUGAAGAACGUAGCGAAAUGCGAUAAGUAAUGCGAAUUGCAGAAUUUCCGUGAGUCAUCGAAUCUUUGAACGCACAUUGCGCCCACCGGUAUUCCGGUGGGCAUGCCUGUUCGAGCGUCAUUAUCCUCCCUCAAACCCCGGGUUUGGUGUUGGACCUCAAGUUGUGCGAACAACUGGUCUUAAAGACAAUGACGGCGUCCGGAGGACCCUCGGUGCAACGAGCUUUCAGGAGCACGCGUCGAGUUUCAAGGACCUUCCGGCCCGGUCUCUUUACUCCUUUCACAAGGUUGACCUCGGAUCAGGUAGGAAUACCCGCUGACCUUAAGCAUAUCAAUAAGCGGAGGA